rnacentral:miRNA from 1 species
CAGUCAAGUUACUUUUUAAUGUCUAAAUUUUAUAUAUAUAUGUGUGUGUGUGUGUGUGUGUGUAUACACAUACACCACACAUAUGCAUAUAUAUAUGGACAAAAUAUAUAC